UAAAUAAAUUUUUUAGAUCAAUGAAAAAUGUAUUUUCAUUGUAUUUACUCUUCACAUGAAGUUUCUUACUUCUUUGUAAUGUUUGUGCUGAUUAGCUUUCAUCAUGGUCAUGGGCUCAAAUGAUUCGGAUGGGUUGGUCGGGUUGGUUCCCAUGCCCAAUCCAAGAUCUUUCUUGACCUUGUCCGAAGUGCCUACUUCGUUAGUGUGUGGUGAGUGAGCUUUUAAAAAUUACUAACUUAUUUAUUGCCAAGCACUGGAUGUUGAUAGGUGUUGUUUUGUUGCCCAUAAAUCAGAAAAGGUGAUCCAUUUUGAGAGUCGCACAGUGACAAAUCUAUAUAGUCUGGAGGUUUGAUGGGGCUUUGCCUUGAAUACUAGUACCAUUUGAAAAGGACUGUACAUUGGAAAGGACCUUUGAUGCUCCUCCCAGAAGGUGCAAUCUUCGAGGCCUUCUAGGUGGUGACACUUAUCACAUGAUUAGUGGGGCAUUUGAGUGUGCUUGGGCCUAUCUCCCCUUUAUAAAUAGGAGCCAUGUUGCUUGAGGUCGAUCUUACCUUGGUCAUCUUCUGAAAUAUUGUGAUGGUGUCGUCUCGUCUGAUGUCACUAGGAUGUCGGAGCUUUCCUCCAUCUGGGGGAGUCUUCUUCUUUCUCUGGCCAAUCAUGGAGUGCUUCAGGGGGAUGCAUUAGUGAGCAUUCUAUCUUAGCAUGAGAAGUAUUGGAAAGUUCCACCUUUCCAACCGUAGGGCC
rnacentral:lncRNA from 1 species